CAAAAACAUAGUCAAAUGUUAUUAUAUUUGGUGUUUCCUGCUCAAUGAUACAAUUUAAUAGCCGCAGUACCCUGACUGUGCAAAGGUAGCAUAAUCAAUUGGCUUAUAAUUGAAGUCUAGAAUGAAAGGAUAUACGGGGAGUUACUGUAUCUGAUAUUUGUAGCGAAAUUAGUUUUCAAGUGCAAAUACUUGUAAGUAAUUGUUAGACGAGAAGACCCUAGAAAUUUGUAGUAUUGUUUAGUUGGGGCAACGUAGUAGGAAGUAACCUACAGUAAAAGACAAGAAAAUAAUUUGAAAGAAAAAAUUACUCUAGGGAUAACAGCAUAAUUUAUAAAAGUUUGUGACCUCGAUGUUGGAUUUGGGAAUUAUAGUCCAGAAGAUUUUUAAUACUGCUCUGUUCGAGCAUAAUAC
rnacentral:rRNA from 1 species